rnacentral:misc_RNA from 1 species
GUUCAAUCUCUUUUUCACUCCUGAAUCGCGGAUUCUAAUCUAGAAGGGCGUCGUCACCGGUUCUCCUAUGAGUAUCACUUGUCAGGAUAUGGCAGAUAAGACGACGCCGUUAAAAGUGACACCGUCGCUACAAAGACAAAAACUCGAAAACUCCCGAGACCACGUGGUCAAAUAGGAUCGAAGAACCUAAUCCAGAACCGAAAUCGCAGGGG